rnacentral:tRNA from 1 species
GCCGGCUUAGCUCAGUGGUAGAGCACCCGCCUUGUAAGCGGACGGUCAUCAGUUCAAGUCUGAUAGCCGGCUCCA